AUUGAACGCUGGCGGCUUGCCUUACACAUGCAAGUCGAACGGUAACAGGUCUUCGGAUGCUGACGAGUGGCGAACGGGUGAGUAAUACAUCGGAACGUGCCUAGUAGUGGGGGAUAACUACUCGAAAGAGUGGCUAAUACCGCAUGAGAUCUACGGAUGAAAGCAGGGGAUCGCAAGACCUUGUGCUACUAGAGCGGCCGAUGGCAGAUUAGGUAGUUGGUGGGAUAAAGGCUUACCAAGCCGACGAUCUGUAGCUGGUCUGAGAGGACGAUCAGCCACACUGGGACUGAGACACGGCCCAGACUCCUACGGGAGGCAGCAGUGGGGAAUUUUGGACAAUGUGCGAAAGCCUGAUCCAGCAAUGACGCGUGCAGGAUGAAGGCCUUCGGGUUGUAAACUGCUUUUGUACGGAACGAAAAGCCCCGGGUUAAUACCCUGGGGUCAUGACGGUACCGUAAGAAUAAGCACCGGCUAACUACGUGCCAGCCGCCGCAGUAA
rnacentral:rRNA from 1 species